rnacentral:rRNA from 1 species
GAUGAACGCUGGCGGCGUGCCUAAUACAUGCAAGUCGAGCGAACGGACGAGAAGCUUGCUUCUCUGAUGUUAGCGGCGGACGGGUGAGUAACACGUGGAUAACCUACCUAUAAGACUGGGAUAACUUCGGGAAACCGGAGCUAAUACCGGAUGAUAUUUUGAACCGCAUGGUUCAAAAGUGAAAGACGGUCUUGCUGUCACUUAUAGAUGGAUCCGCGCUGCAUUAGCUAGUUGGUAAGGUAACGGCUUACCAAGGCAACGAUGCAUAGCCGACCUGAGGGGCUGAUCGGCCACACUGGAACUUAGACACGGUCCAGACUCCUACGGGAGGCAGCAGUAGGCAAUCUUCCGCAAUGGGCGAAAGCCUGACGGAGCAACGCCGCGUGAGUGAUGAAGGUCUUCGGAUCGUAAAACUCUGUUAUUAGGGAAGAACAUAUGUGUAAGUAACUGUGCACAUCUUGACGGUACCUAAUCAGAAAGCCCCGGCUAACUACGUG